UACGUAGGCAGCGAGCGUUGUUCGGAGUUACUGGGCGUAAAGAGCUCGUAGGCGGUCUGUCGCGUCGAUCGUGAAAACUUGGGGCUUAACCCUGAGCUUGCGGUCGAUACGGGCAUGACUGGAGUUCGGCAGGGGAGACUGGAAUUCCUGGUGUAGCGGUGAAAUGCGCAGAUAUCAGGAGGAACACCGGUGGCGAAGGCGGGUCUCUGGGCCGAUACUGACGCUGAGGAGCGAAAGCGUGGGGAGCAAACAGG
rnacentral:rRNA from 1 species